UCCGGUUUGACACCGGCAGUCUCCCUAGAGUUCCCGGCUUUACCCGCUGGUAACUAGGGACGAGGGUUGCGCUCGUUGCGGGACUUAACCCAACAUCUCACGACACGAGCUGACGACAGCCAUGCAGCACCUGUGUACGAGUCCCGAAGGAAAGCAGGUGUUUCCACCCGCCGUCCCGUACAUGUCAAGCCCAGGUAAGGUUCUUCGCGUUGCAUCGAAUUAAACCACAUACUCCACCGCUUGUGCGGGCCCCCGUCAAUUCCUUUGAGUUUCAGUCUUGCGACCGUACUCCCCAGGCGGCGAACUUAACGCGUUAGCUUCGGCACAGUAGGGGUCGAUACCCGCUACACCAAGCACCCAUCGUUUACAGCCAGGACUAC
rnacentral:misc_RNA from 1 species